CCUACGGGUGGCAGCAGUGGGGAAUAUUGGACAAUGGGCGAAAGCCUGAUCCAGCCAUGCCGCGUGUAUGAAGAAGGCCUUCGGGUUGUAAAGCACUUUCAGUGGGGAAGAAAGCCUUGGGGCUAAUACCCUCGAGGAAGGACAUCACCCACAGAAGAAGCACCGGCUAACUCCGUGCCAGCAGCCGCGGUAAUACGGAGGGUGCGAGCGUUAAUCGGAAUUACUGGGCGUAAAGCGCGCGUAGGCGGUCUGAUAAGCCGGUUGUGAAAGCCCCGGGCUCAACCUGGGAACGGCAUCCGGAACUGUCAGGCUAGAGUGCAGGAGAGGAAGGUAGAAUUCCCGGUGUAGCGGUGAAAUGCGUAGAGAUCGGGAGGAAUACCAGUGGCGAAGGCGGCCUUCUGGACUGACACUGACGCUGAGGUGCGAAAGCGUGGGUAGCAAACAGGAUUAGAUACCACAGUAGUC
rnacentral:rRNA from 1 species